rnacentral:rRNA from 1 species
AUUAAACGCUGGCGGCAUGCCUUACACAUGCAAGUCGAACGGCAGCGCGGGAGCUUGCUCCUGGUGGCGAGUGGCGGACGGGUGAGUAAUACAUCGGAACGUGCCCUGGAGUGGGGGAUAACGCAGCGAAAGCUACGCUAAUACCGCAUAUUCUGUGAGCAGGAAAGCAGGGGAUCGCAAGACCUUGCGCUCUAGGAGCGGCCGAUGUCGGAUUAGCUAGUUGGUGGGGUAAAGGCCCACCAAGGCGACGAUCCGUAGCGGGUCUGAGAGGAUGAUCCGCCACACUGGGACUGAGACACGGCCCAGACUCCUACGGGAGGCAGCAGUGGGGAAUUUUGGACAAUGGCGGAAGCCUGAUCCAGCCAUGCCGCGUGAGUG